rnacentral:rRNA from 1 species
GAUGAACGCUAGCGGCAGGCCUAAUACAUGCAAGUCGAGGGAGAAUGUUGGAUUCGUCUGACAUGAAACCGGCGCACGGGUGCGUAACACGUAUGCAACCUACCUUUAACUGGGGUAUAGCUCAGAGAGAUCUGAAUUAAUCCCCCAUAAGACUACGACAUGGCAUCAUGAUGUAGUUAAAGCUCCGGCGGUUAAGGAUGGUCAUGCGGUACAUUAGAUAGUUGGUGAGGUAAUGGCUCACCAAGGCUACGAUGGAUAGGGGGUCUGAGAGGAUGAUCCCCAAGACUGGAACUGAGGCACGGACCAGACUCCUAAGGAGGGCAGCAGUAGGGAAUAUUGGUCAAUGGACGCAAGUCUGAACCAUCCAUGCCGCGUGAAGGAUGAAGGCCCUAUGGGUCGUAAACUUCUUUUAUUAGAGAAGAAAAAACGGGAUGCGUCCUGUACUGACGGUACUUAAUGAAUAAGGAUCGGCUAACUUCGUGCCAGCCGCCGCAGUAA